rnacentral:rRNA from 1 species
UGCCUAGUACGGCGAGUGAAGCGGCAACAGCUCAAAUUUGAAAUCUGGCUCUCGGGCCCGAGUUGUAAUUUGUAGAGGAUACUUUUGAUGCGGUGCCUUCCGAGUUCCCUGGAACGGGACGCCAUAGAGGGUGAGAGCCCCGUCUGGUUGGAUGCCAAAUCUCUGUAAAGUUCCUUCGACGAGUCGAGUAGUUUGGGAAUGCUGCUCUAAAUGGGAGGUAUAUGUCUUCUAAAGCUAAAUACCGGCCAGAGACCGAUAGCGCACAAGUAGAGUGAUCGAAAGAUGAAAAGCACUUUGAAAAGAGAGUUAAAAAGUACGUGAAAUUGUUGAAAGGGAAGCGUUUAUGACCAGACUUGGGCUUGGUUAAUCAUCUGGGGUUCUCCCCAGUGCACUUUUCCAGUCCAGGCCAGCAUCAGUUUUCGCCGGGGGAUAAAGACUUCGGGAAUGUGGCUCUCUUCGGGGAGUGUUAUAGCCCGUUGUGUAAUACCCUGGCGGGGACUGAGGUUCGCGCAUCUGCAAGGAUGCUGGCGUAAUGGUCAUCAACGACCCGUCUUGAA